GACUUUUAAAAUCGUGAGGGUUCAAGUCCCUCUAUCCCCA
rnacentral:tRNA from 2 species